UGCUAGGGUGUCUACAAAGGGGUUACGUAGCUUAUCUGACUACUUAGGGUUCUUCAUAGGAAAAGAAGGAAAAGACAUUUAAUGUUCUGUAACUAUUUCUCGUCUUGGGAUAUUGAAUAUAUAUCUAUCUAGACAUACAGGUGCCAUAAAGGAGCUUUGCCUUUUCCCUAUCUUUAAAUAACUUUCCUAGUUAUGAACAGCCCAUGUUCAAGCUCCCACAUCCCUCUAAUUGUCAUUGCUAAGAUAGCUUUAUCUUGAGAGAAGGCUCCUUCUGGUCCCAGAGCACAGUAGAGAACGUUUUGUCCUUAGCUUGUUCUGGGGUACAGGAAGUAAGUGGGACCGCAAGGGCUGUAGGAUGAAGGUUCCCACCUCAACACAAAGCCUGUGGUGAACUGGCUACUCUGCUACUAUGGUAACUGGUGUAUGUAUUUUAGCUAUCUUAUGUGGGUCCCUUUAUCUCUACCUUCCUUCCUACCAGCAUCCACCCUAAACCCUUCCACAGAACUAGGUAAGAGAGAAGGAAGGUUGGAAGGGAAAGAGGCAUAGACCUCGAUAGGCUACUUCCUGUUGAAUAGGGACAAAGUUCCUUGGGGCAAGUCCCAUCAUCAUCAUGAUAACCAGUAAACCAGCUACGGCCAGUACUCUGGGACUCACCUGUUUACACCAAGGGUUCCCAGAAUUAAACUAUCUGCAUCUGGCACAAAUCACCCCCCUGCAAAAACAUGAGACACAUUAUAUAGUCAGCCGCUGUGGACAAGCUGAAGCAACCCCAUAUCCUACACCUGGGAUUAAAACAAAAACAUGUUUACACAACAUAACUUGGUUUGUAAAGAAACCCUCACUAUGGUUCUUUGCCUUCUCUUGGAGGCCAUAGCUACCCUGUCUGCCCAUCAGUUCAAUCAUUUUAAACCCAAGUGACCAUUCGUCUUUGUCUAUGUUAUUACUUUACUGCCUAGACUUCCGUUAAAUAUCUGUCCUGGUCCCUUGGAUUAGCCAGCACUGAAUAAUGGAAAUGGAAUCUGAACUAAUUUACAGAGAUCUAAUAUCAAGAAUAAGCCAAGCACGGUGACGCACACCUUUAAUCCAGCAGAGGAGGCAGAGGUAGAUGAAUCUCGGAAGAUUGAGAUGCGAGGAGAGUUGAAGGGAGGAUUUCCCAGAUAAAAGGAGAAGCCACACGUCUAACUCAACACUAGGUCAACAAGCAAAGAAAGAAACUGAGAUGGCUGGUCUGAGAGCUUAGCUAUCAGCACCCGCGAUGACCUGAACUGGCCUCCCAACAGCCACGUGGCAGCUCACAGCCGCCCGUAAUUCUAGGAUCAGGCAAUCUCCUGACCACAGGGAGCACCCACCACACACAUACUCUUACAGAGACAUACAUACGUGUACAUAAUAAUGACAGAAACUAACAAAUCUUUGAAAAAAAACCUAAGGAGGAAGGUGAGUGAAAGCAGUACUUGUAUGCUUCAACAGGAUUCAGCAGUGCAUCAUGGGUAUGGCGGGAGAGGGAGGAAGGUGAGCAUUCAGCACGCAUCCACACACUGCUGGGCCCACUAGAGACUGAGGGAUGCAGGUAAGAAGACAAGAGAAGCAAUGCUGUCUGCAAGGUCCUUGGGUCAGAAACAAGGAGAAUACCUGUCUAGUGAGACGUAUUGAUAAGUUCACCAAAAUAAAGGCAGUAGAGAGAAAGUCCCUGGGUAUUGAUAGCCCUCACGGUCAUCCUUCUGAGUACUAUUCAGUAAUUAGUGUGCUCUGGGAACCGUGCCAACAACUCUCCACAUAUUAAUUAUCACAAUAAAGGGAAAUGUGAGGUAUAAUUAUGACUAAUUCAUUAUUGAUAAAUACUGUAAAAGUUAAUUUUCCAGAAAUAGAAUCCUAGAUGAUUUCAAGGUUGGCAGAAAGGAAGAGAUAGGGAAUUGGAAGAACACCAAAUUUUAUUAUCUUCGAAGGAUGGCAAGUCAUUGCAAUUGUUAGAAAUUCACAAUCUGGGUUUUGUAAUGGACGGACACUGGGUGUGUCAACCACUUCAGCCAGGCCUCGUGUUCAGGAGCAGUUGACCAACAUACACUGUGUGUGUGGUGUGUGUGUGUGUGUGUGUGUGUGUGUGUGUGUGUGUGUGUGUGUGUGUGUGGUGUGUGUGUGUGUGUGUGUGUGUGUGUGUGUGUGUGUGUGUGCUUUUAUUUGGUUACAGUUCAGUAGGUUUUGUUUGUUUUCUCUUGGGUGCUGUUUGUUUUGUUUCCAUGGCCAGGGUGACUUCGUUGUAUUGGGUUUUAGUUUGUUUUUCUUUUCAGGAAGAGCUUAAAUGUGGGUGGAUAGGGGGAGAGGGAAGGAUCUGGAAGGACUUGGAGGAAGGGAAGACUAUGAUCAAAAAUAUUUAAAUUUAAAAUUUUUUUUAAAUAAUAAAAUAUAAUAAAAAGAAAAAAAACACAAAUUCAGUAUUAUGAACUUUUAGAUGGCUAUAAUAUGCUUUCAAAUCACUUGAUUAAUAAAACACAAGUAACUGUAAAGACACACUUGCUAUAUGCUGAUAAUCUAAGCACACAGUUCUAAAAUACAUACCUAUACCUUGUUAGAAAUAUAGACUUUUGAAAAUCCAUUGUAACAAAAACUAUAAACAACUCUACUUGUAUAAAUUUACAUGUCAAGGAAAUAAAAAAAUACAAAGAUUUAAGUGACAUCACUUAAGAGAUAACC